rnacentral:rRNA from 1 species
GCCGUUCUUUCGGGACGCCCCAGACAGGUGGUGCAUGGUUGUCGUCAGCUCGUGUCGUGAGAUGUUGGGUUAAGUCCCGCAACGAGCGCAACCCUUAUCUUAAGUAGCCAGCAGGUAAAGCUGGGCACUCUUGGGAGACUGCCAGGGAUAACCUGGAGGAAGGUGGGGAUGACGUCAAAUCAUCAUGCCCCUUAUGAUCUGGGCUACACACGUGCUACAAUGGCGUAAACAAAGAGAGGCGAAAGGGCGACCUGGAGCAAACCUCAAAAAUAACGUCUCAGUUCGGACUGCAGGCUGCAACCCGCCUGCACGAAGCCGGAAUCGCUAGUAAUCGCGGAUCAGAAUGCCGCGGUGAAUACGUUCCCGGGUCUUGUACACACCGCCCGUCACACCAUGGGAGUCAGUAACGCCCGAAGUCAGUGACCCAACCUGAAAAGGAGGGAGCUGCCGAAGGCGGGACGGAUAACUGGGGUGAAGUCGUAACAAGGUAACCGU